CACAAUUCUAUAAACUAACAAUUAUCAAUUUCAAAAAGAGAUUAAGAAAACAGCCCUGUUUAAUAUAGCAUCGAAAGGAUUACCUACUUAGGAAUAAACCUAACCAAGGAGAUGAAAGGCUCCUACAUUGAAAACUCACAACAUUGCUGAAAUAUCCCAUACUCAAGGGUUGGAAAACUCAAUCAAUAAAAUGUCCAUACUAUACCAAAGUGAUCUUCAGAUUCAACACAAUCUCCUAUCAGAAUUCCCCGGGGUAUUUUAUUGCAGAAAGAGAAAACAAAGUCCUAUAAUUCGUAUUGAAUCUCAAGGGACAUCAAUAGCCAAAACAAUAUUGAAAAGGAAGAAUAAAAUUGAAGACCUCAUGUUUCUGGAUUUCAAAACAUACUCCAAAGCAACGGUAAUCAUGUGAGUGUCCAACCAACAUAAAAACAGAUUAAAUUUAGACCAACGGAACAGGACAGGGAAACCAAUAAUAGACCUUGAUGGCUAAGUGACUUUCAGCAAGGUUGCCAAGAUGACACAAUGGAGAAAGAGCAGUCUGCUCAACAAAUAGCGCUGGGAAAACUGGAUAUCCCCAGGAAAGAGAAUGAAGAUGGGCCCUGACCUUAUUAUACUAUAUGCAACAAGUAGCUCAAAAUGGAGCAAAGACCUAAAUGUAAGAACUAACACCAUAGAAUUCUUGGAAGAAAACAUAGGAGGAAAUCCUCAUGAUAUUGAAUUUGGCAAUGAUUUCUUAGAUGUGACACUAAAAGCACAGGCAACUUAAGUAAAAAUGCAUAAACUGGAUGAUCUUCAAAAUUAAAACUUCUAUACAUCAAAGGAUACACUCAAAAGAGUGAAAAGGCAACUAUAAAUAGGGAAAUAUUUGCAAAUAAUUUGUAUUUGAGAAGUG
rnacentral:lncRNA from 1 species